rnacentral:rRNA from 1 species
AGCAGCCGCGGUAAUUCCAGCUCCAAUAGCGUAUAUUAAAGUUGUUGCAGUUAAAAAGCUCGUAGUUGAAUUUCGGGAUCAAAUUGUUGGUCGUGCUUCGGUACGCACUGGCAUUAUUGGUUCCUACCCUCUGAAGAACCGCGAUGUCAUUAAUUUGGUGUCGUGGGGAAUCAGGACUGUUACUUUGAAAAAAAUUAGAGUGUUUAAAGCAGGCUUACGCUUGAAUACAUUAGCAUGGAAUAAUGAAAUAGGACGUUUGAUUCUAUUUUGUUGGUUUCUAGGAUCGACGUAAUGAUUAAUAGGGAUAGUUGGGGGCAUUAGUAUUCAAUUGUCAGAGGUGAAAUUCUUGGAUUUAUUGAAGACUAACUACUGCGAAAGCAUUUGCCAAGGAUGUUUUCAUUAAUCAAGAACGAAAGUUAGGGGAUCGAAGACGAUCAGAUACCGUCGUAGUCUUAACCAUAAACUAUGCCGACUAGGGAUCGGAUGAUGUUAAUUUUUUAAUGACUCAUUCGGCGCC